UUUUCUAUAGCUAAUUUAUUUAGAGGACAGCAAUCCAUUUUUAUGUUAUAUAGGUGAAGAAGAGUGGAAAUUCUUGCUAUCUCCGCACUGCCGAAUAGUUUCUCUCCCUCAAAAUUCCACCACCAAAUCUCUGCUCAUUCAAUGGCAGCAAUUUCAGGGAAGGUUUUCCAAAAUAUUAAUGUAUCACAGUGCUACCAACAGUCUAGGCAUUUCAGCAACCAAUAUCGAAGGGACUGUUUUGCCCCUUUUAACUUGCUUCCCUUUGAUGGAGGGAAGGUUGCAUGGACUAGCAUCUCAUCCAUGCAGUUGCGCACCUUUUCCACACCCCAGAUAAAUUUUAUUAUUCGAGGACCUGUUCACUGCAAUGCUGCUCCAUCUACAAUCUCUUCUCUUGAUAAUAUUGAUUUCCAGAAGCUUCAAAAUGGAAGUGAUAUUCGAGGUGUUGCUGUUGCUGGUGUUGAGGGGGAGCCUGUGAAUCUUACUGAACUAGUUGCAGAAGCAAUAGGAGCUGGCUUUGCUGCAUGGUUAUUAGAAAAGAAAAAAGCUGAUGGUUCACGACGCUUGAAAGUUUCUAUUGGACACGAUUCACGUAUUUCAGCUAAAAAAUUACAGGAUGCAAUUUCUCAAGGUAUAGCUGGUGCAGGGCUGGAUGUAAUUCAGUACGGAUUAGCUUCUACACCAGCUAUGUUUAACAGCACUAUCACUGAAGAUGAAGCACUUUUUUGUCCUGCUGAUGGAUCUAUUAUGAUAACUGCAAGUCAUUUGCCGUUCAACAGGAAUGGAUUCAAAUUUUUUACUAAUGCUGGCGGGCUUGGCAAAGCUGACAUUAAAGAAAUUCUGGGGCGUGCUGCAGAAUUCUAUAGAAAUCUGAAUAGCACAGAUGGUUUGAAAAAUUCAAGGGGGAAAGGUUCUGCAUCAAUAGAGCAGGUCGAUUACAUGAGUGUCUAUGCAUCUGAUCUCGUGAAGGCAGUUCGUAAAGCUGCAGGAAAUAAAGAAAAGCCCUUGGAAGGAUUCCAUAUUGUUGUUGACGCUGGAAACGGAGCAGGAGGAUUUUUUGCAGCAAAGGUGCUAGAACCACUUGGUGCAAUCACUUCGGGUAGUCAGUUCUUGGAGCCAGAUGGUUUAUUUCCAAACCAUAUACCAAAUCCCGAGGACAAGACAGCAAUGAGAGCCAUAACAGAGGCUGUCCUUCACAACAAAGCUGAUUUAGGGAUCAUCUUUGACACAGAUGUUGACAGAUCUGCUGCUGUGGAUUCUAAUGGACGUGAGUUUAACCGGAAUCGCUUAAUCGCCUUGAUGUCUUCCAUUGUUCUUGAGGAGCAUCCUGGCACCACUAUUGUUACAGACAGUGUGACCUCUGAUGGCCUAACCUUGUUUAUAGAGAAGAAACUUGGGGGAAAACAUCACAGGUUCAAAAGAGGCUACAAAAAUGUCAUUGAUGAAGCUAUCCGCCUGAAUUCUAUUGGUGAGGAGUCACAUUUGGCUAUUGAAACCAGUGGUCAUGGAGCUCUUAAGGAGAACCAUUGGCUUGAUGAUGGCGCAUAUCUCAUGGUCAAAAUUUUGAACAAACUUGCAUCAGCAAGAGCCUCAGGAUUAGGUGGUGGGAGCCAAGUUUUGACCGAUCUGGUGGAAGGUUUACAAGAGCCUGCUGUUGCUGUUGAGUUGCGUUUAAAAAUAAAUCAAAACCAUCCAGACCUUCAAGGAGGACCCUUCCGCGAUUAUGGAGAAGCAGUGCUGAAACAUGUUGAGAAUCUUGUUGCUUCUGAUCCCAAGCUUGUGAAAGCUCCUGUUAACUAUGAAGGGGUUCGGGUUUCUGGAUUUGGUGGGUGGUUCCUUCUAAGACUCUCAUUGCAUGAUCCUGUACUUCCUCUUAACAUCGAGGCACCAAGCAAUGACGACGCCAUAAAACUCGGCCUUACAGUCCUAGCUGCUGCCAAGGAAUUCCCUGCUUUGGAUACGUCUGCACUAGACAAAUUUGUUCGAGUAUGAAUCAGUUCCCGAGGUAUACGACCUCUGUAUUUCUCAGACACCAAUAUUCCGAAAAAAACACUUACUGCUCUUCUCACUACACCUCGUCUAUAGGCUACGUUCUCUUUUAGUUUCCAGGCAUGAACCACAGAUAUUUUUUCCGCAACUCUCUGAAUGACAAACUUCUUGAAGUUGAUUGCAUUUUGAAGCCCUCCUCGAAAACUUGAACUUCAUUUUGAUUCAAGUAAAGCCGUGAGUACUUUCAUUUUGAUUAGAUCCCAAAUUAAACUUAGUUUUAUUUUCUUUGUUAAAAUUAUAUAUUAAACCAACUAGUAACAUACUUUUAAGUGGUAAAAAAGUUUCAAUGAGUUGAAAUUAUUCUAUAUUAGAUCUCAAUUAAGGGUUAGGCUGGCAGUGGAUUGAUUCUGAUUCAAGAACCAAGUUAGAUCUUGAUCUAUUUAAUUUUUAUUUGUCUAUUAAUAAAAUAUAGAGAACUUUUUUAUGGAUGACAAAGACAAA